UCCUGUCUGUUUCUCCAAACUGGGUUCGUGCCGACCGUCGUCUACUGUAGGUAAUACACUGACUAUGGAUAAGUACCUCAUACAACCUUACUUCAAACCCUCUGAACUAUCCCUUAAAGGUCAUUCACCUUAAACACUGUGUCCUUGUCUCAACUAUCUGUGUAAACACACACCAAAAAAAAGAAGCUUUUCGGACUUUGAUCCAUUUAUUUAUCAGCCUUUUUGUGCAACUGCAGGGAUUCCACCUCUUGUCGGUAAACCAGGGUGUUUCUUAGCCUAUACGGAGGUUGUCGGGUUCAGUGUAUGAUGCUGAUCACAUGAUGGCUGAGCAGACUAACCCUACGCCAACCGGGCUGAUCCAGGGUGUCCAGAACCAGCCGCCUCUAAACCUCUCUGAUCUGAUUUACUCCGCAGUAGUAGCCUAAUGAUACAGGGGAAUGCAGAGGCGAUUGUUAGACUGAACCUGGAAUUUGUCACCCCGUUUGACACAGAAACCUCCUGAACAAGCAGUCGUCUGAUCGUCAUUCCCCACCACAUUGAUCAUAGUAACACAGGAAGUGGUAUUAUUGGCCUGCGUGUGCGCCGACACAGCUUUUUAUCCCUGAUGCAGGCCGAACAGAAUCGCUGCGUCACUGUCCUUAAUGCACGAGGGAAAGAAACCGAAGCCUUAUUUUCAUGUGUGUGUGUCUUUUGUCUACGUGCCCCGCUGAACCGUUGGAGCAUGAUGCUGGCGACGUGCUCGUACGCAGUCCCUUUCUGGUUUCUGGUUUCCGUGGCAUCGCCCUCACUUGGCUCCACGCUCCUGAUUCGACUGAUGGGGUGACAGUAGUGCAGCAUCAUCAGGACGUCUGAUUUAUCCUGUACUGGAAGUUGAAAAUGCUCACCUUCUAAAUGAGCCACGUCUCAUUCUGUUCCUACUUUGUGCGAGCUGGAAAUGUUGCAGUAGUUGCUGCAGUGUGGAGCCGCAGUCUUACCUUUUGUGCUCUGUUGUCUGACACUGCUGGGUUGUUGUCAGUGAAUAUUUUUUCUCCCAUCGAACUUUUUUUUGCCCCAUUUUAUCUGCAUUUUAUUCUUUUAGGUCGGUUUAGUUUAUGCGGAAGUCAGCCUGCUACAACGGUUGUUAUGACGGUACACAUAAAAACGUUCUGACCUACGUUGAUUUGAAUGGGAACGUCCGUUCUACUCCUAUAUUCUAUUUCUAUGAUUUCAGCUCUACUACUGGGUCCAAUCUCAUUUCUGCCACUUUGGAAUUAAUCCAAUAAACGAACUAUCAAAACGUACUCGGACCCUGUACCUUCACAUGAUUGACAAGCCCUCGGAGCAGCUCUACUUCUUCAUCCUCUCAUGUUGGACAGAAGGCAGACUAGACGCUACAGUCACUCACUAUCGUCUCUCAAGGUUCAAAUGGUACUACAAGACAGUAUGGUCUGGGGCUAGCUGGUUAGAACAUUCAUUUCAG